rnacentral:rRNA from 1 species
UACGGAGGGUGCAAGCGUUAUCCGGAUUCACUGGGUUUAAAGGGUGCGUAGGUGGGUCUGUAAGUCCGUGGUGAAAUCUCCAAGCUUAACUUGGAAACUGCCAUGGAUACUAUAGGUCUUGAAUACCGUGGAGGUGAGCGGAAUAUGUCAUGUAGCGGUGAAAUGCUAGAUAUGACAUAGAACACCAAUUGCGAAGGCAGCUCACUACACGAAUAUUGACACUGAGGCACGAAAGCGUGGGGAUCAAACAGGG